UGGGGAAUUUUGCGCAAUGGGCGAAAGCCUGACGCAGCAACGCCGCGUGCGGGAUGAAGGCCUUCGGGUUGUAAACCGCUUUCAGCAGGGAUGAAACUGACAGUACCUGCAGAAGAAGCCCCGGCUAACUACGUGCCAGCAGCCGCGGUAAUACGUAGGGGGCAAGCGUUAUCCGGAUUCAUUGGGCGUAAAGAGCGCGUAGGCGGCUUGUUAAGCGAGAUGUGAAAACCGGGGGCUUAACCCGCGGCCUGCAUCUCGAACUGGCAGGCUUGAGUCUGGUAGAGGAGUGUGGAAUUCCCAGUGUAGCGGUGAAAUGCGCAGAUAUUGGGAGGAACACCAGUGGCGAAGGCGGCACUCUGGGCCACGACUGACGCUGAGGCGCGAAAGCUAGGGGAGCAAACA
rnacentral:rRNA from 1 species